ACCAGCAACAGCGACACCGGGACGGCGCCCAGGCCCUCGCCAGCCCCGACGGCGCCCUCGCCGAGGCCCCCAGGACCGUCAAGAAGGUACGAGUGAGCUGUGAUCUGAGCAGGGAGGCUUGGUGACAGCAGCGAAGAGGAUGAAGCAACAGAAGAUUGAAUUUUCCUCCAGAACAGUCCCCAAGCUGUGUAAACUCAGGUUAAAUUAAAUACUUUCCAAAACAAA